GAACCUUACCAGGCUUUGACAUGCAGGAGACCGGUGUGAAAGGCACCUUUCCUUUCGGGACUGCUGCACAGGUGCUGCAUGGCUGUCGUCAGCUCGUGUCGUGAGAUGUUGCGUUAAGUCGCGCAACGAGCGCAACCCCUGUCUUUAGUUGCCAUCAGGUAAAGCUGGGCACUCUAGGGAGACAAACCCUCUUUGAGGGUGGGAAGGUGGGGAUGACGUCAAGUCAGGAUGGCCCUUACGGCCUGGGCUGCACACGUACUACAAUGCCCGGUACAGAGGGAAGCAAUACCGCGAGGUGGAGCAAAUCCUCAAAACCGGGCCCAGUUCAGAUUGUAGUCUGCAACUCGACUACAUGAAGUUGGAAUCGCUAGUAAUGGCGCAUCAGCUACGGCGCCGUGAAUACGUUCCCGGGCCUUGUCACACCGA
rnacentral:rRNA from 1 species